rnacentral:tRNA from 1 species
UCUAAUAUGACAGAAUAAUGUAUUGGAUUUAAACCCCAACAAUAAAACUUUUUAGUUUUUUUUAGAA